rnacentral:hammerhead_ribozyme from 1 species
UUGUUGAUGAAGAGUCCUAAACUAGGACGAAACUUGAGUCCAUUAU